UUUGUACUAGGAGCAUUGAAGCAGGAGGCUGCCAGCACUUCACCUGAGUGUUAGCCAACACUGAUUUUAGGGCCUGGCUUCGUUUCUAGUGAGUUUCCUGACUCUUGGACAAAGAGUCUUCUGGAUCAAGGUUCAAGUCUCCAGUGACCCUCUUCGUACAAACUUCAAGCUGGCAGCUUCCUUACUCCACGAUCAGCCGGACCAAGACAUAAGCGAACCCUGUUCACUCUCCAACCUGUUCUCAUGCAAGUAGCUCCACCUGGCGCUCCACACCACCGUCUUACACAUCUCUGACUGAGUUGAACAGGACUCCCCAGGAACCUCCCCUCCUAAGUCAUCUCCAGUCCUGAGCUCCCAGACUCCACAAGUCUGUUUCCCCCUGGCGGCUCAGUCAUCUCCUUCAUUGGUGAUCUCCGGCUCUGGUUCUCUCGCCAUUACUUCCCACCUGUGAAAAUAAACCUUUUAAAAUCUG